rnacentral:misc_RNA from 1 species
AGCAUAUGCCAUCAACAAUGGAAGAGCUGCAAUGGAGGGUAACAACAGUUUCACUCUCCAAGGUACAUCAAGGACGUCAUCCACAAACCCAAGUAGCAUCAUAAAGCAGAUCGAAGAUAAUGCAGCAUUGUAUUCCACAAGCCAAUUUGAAUCAGCUGUGAAGUUGAAAUAUUGAAACAAGAUUGCCACGACCAAGAACACAGCCCCAACAAUGAUGCCAAGUGACUCAGGUACUUUGACAGAGCCUUGAGGAGUGCCUUUUUUGUUGAUAUCAUAUCCAAAUAAAUUCCUUCUCAAUACAUACUUAGAGGCAACAGGAAUCAUAGUAACAGUGACGAAGAAUCCGAUCAAGCUAACAAUUGCAUUGAUGAGAAUCGAUCGUCGGAGCUCCGAUUCGAUGUCGUAGUGAUAAAAUAUCAAGUAGAAGUACGGGAUUAAGAAUAUCAAAGAGAUUUUGAAAAUUAAGUAAACUUUCGCCGGCGCUAUAGGAGGUUCCGGUGAGGAGUCACUGGAUUUAGGCUUCUCCGUGUUUAUGGAUGAUUCCGGUUGAUUCACGGUGGCCGGCGCCGCCGUUGACGGUCGUUUUUUAGCUGCCAUUGUUUCGAUCUCUCUCUCACUGUGUG